rnacentral:rRNA from 1 species
UACGUAGGGGGCAAGCGUUGUCCGGAAUCAUUGGGCGUAAAGCGCGUGUAGGCGGCCAGAAAAGUCCGCUGUGAAAACUCGAGGCUCAACUUCGAGCUGUCGGUGGAAACUUUCUGGCUAGAGUCCGGAAGAGGAGAAUGGAAUUCCUGGUGUAGCGGUGAAAUGCGCAGAUAUCAGGAAGAACACCCGUGGCGAAGGCGGCCCUCUGGACGGAUACUGACGCUGGAGACGCGAAAGCGUGGGGAGCAAACAGG